rnacentral:rRNA from 1 species
CCUACGGGUGGCAGCAGUGAGGAAUAUUGGUCAAUGGGCGAGAGCCUGAACCAGCCAAGUCGCGUGAGGGAGUACUGCCCUAUGGGUUGUAAACCUCUUUUGUCGGGGAGCAAAAGCCGGACGUGUCCGGCUGUGAGAGUACCCGAAGAAAAAGCAUCGGCUAACUCCGUGCCAGCAGCCGCGGUAAUACGGGGGAUGCGAGCGUUAUCCGGAUUUAUUGGGUUUAAAGGGUGCGCAGGCGGAUUUUAAAUACAGCGGUAAAAUCGUGGGGCUCAACCCCGUCCAGCCGUUGAAACUGGGGAUCUAGAGUGUGCGAGAGGUAUGCGGAAUGCGUGGUGUAGCGGUGAAAUGCAUAGAUAUCACGCAGAACACCGAUUGCGAAGGCAGCAUACCGGUGCACAACUGACGCUCAGGCACGAAAGCGUGGGUAUCGAACAGGAUUAGAUACCCGAGUAGUC